UCCCAGACUCCUACGGGAGGCAGCAGUGGGGGAUAUUGCACAAUGGGGGAAACCCUGAUGCAGCGACGCCGCGUGGGUGAAGAAGCGCCUCGGCGCGUAAAGCCCUGUCAGCAGGGAAGAAAAUGACGGUACCUGAAGAAGAAGCCCCGGCUAACUACGUGCCAGCAGCCGCGGUAAUACGUAGGGGGCAAGCGUUAUCCGGAUUUACUGGGUGUAAAGGGGGCGCAGACGGCAGCGCAAGCCAGGAGUGAAAGCCCGGGGCCCAACCCCGGGACUGCUCUUGGAACUGCGCGGCUGGAGUGCAGGAGGGGCAGGCGGAAUUCCUGGUGUAGCGGUGAAAUGCGUAGAUAUUAGGAGGAACACCAGUGGCGAAGGCGGCCUGCUGGACGAUGACUGACGUUGAGGCUCGAAAGCGUGGGGAGCAAACAGGAUUAGAUACCCUGGUAC
rnacentral:rRNA from 1 species